GACGAACGCUGGCGGCGUGCUUAACACAUGCAAGUCGAACGAAGUGGCGAACGGGUGAGUAACGCGUAAUCAACCUGCCCUUCCGAGGGGGACAACAGUUGGAAACGACUGCUAAUAUCGCAUACUGAAGGAUGGGAAUCCGUCUGAUUAGCUAGUUGGGGGGGUAACGGGCCACCAAGGCCAUGAUCGUUAGCCGGUCCGAGAUGGUGAACGGCCAAAUUGGGGCGGGGACACGGCCCAGACUCCUACGGGAGGCAGCAGUGGGGAAUCUUCCGCAAUGGACGAAAGUCUGACGGAGCAAAGCCGCGUGAGGGAUAACGGCCUUCGGGUUGUAAAGCUCUGUUAAUCGGGACGCGGUACCGAAAUAGAAAGCCACGGCUAACUACGUGCCAGCAGCCGCGGUAAUUC
rnacentral:rRNA from 1 species